rnacentral:rRNA from 1 species
CCCUAGUAUAAUAUAAGUUUCAUGAUUAGUAUAUUAAUUGGAAAUUUAAAUAUUUUGGCGGUUAAUUAAGAAUUAGAGGAGCUUGUUAUAUAAUUGGAAGUUACUCUUUAUAUUUUAUAACUUUUGUUUGUUUAUUCAUCUCCGUUAUUAGGUUUAUGGAAUUGAAAAAAAAAAUUAAGUUUAUAUUUCAGGUCAAGAUGUAGCUUAAAUUUGUUACAAUUAGCUACAAUUAUAAAAAUAAUGGAUAAAUUAAGGUAUUUUAUUAUAGAAGUUGAAUUUAAUUGUAAUAUUAAUUAUAAUCUUAUUAUGAAAAGUCAAUUAAUGUA